AAAGAAUGACAGAAUAUAGUCCGGGAGCCAAAGGCCAGCAUCUUGGUGAACCUGGUUUUGUCGUUUAAAGUUUUUUUCUUUGCUGUUUCUUGUUG